CCUCUUCAUAAUCCUUCUCAAGGGCAGCCAUGUCUUCACGGGCCUCAGAAAACUGUCCUUUCCCCAUGCCCUCACCCACAUACCAGUGAACAAAGGCUCACUGGGCACACAUCAGGUCAAACCUGUGGUCCAGGGGAGCCCAGGUCUCAGCAAUGGCUGUGGUGGUGCUCAGCGUACACACAUCUCGAUGUACUUUGACCAGGUCUCCACUAGGUACCACAGUGGGAUGCUGGUAAUUAGCCAGUGGGAUGCUGGCUCCAACUGUGAAGCCGAUGGGGCACUAGCCCACAAACUGGAUGGUACGCCUGGUCCUGAUGGUAGCAGUGGCAGCGUUGACAUCUUUGGGAACCACAUCACCACAGUACAACAGGCAGAAAGCCAUGUAUUUAUCAUGGUAAGGGUCAUAUUUCACCAUUUGGUUGUUUGUCUCAAAGCAUGCCUUGGCGAUCUCUACUACAUAAAGCUGUUUGUGGUAGGCUUUCUCAGCAGAGAUGACAGGAGCAUAUGUGACCAGAGGGAAGCAGAUGUGGGGAUAGGGUACCAAGUUGGUCUGGAGUUCUAUCCGAAAACAUUUUGGGCUCCAUCAAAUCUGAGGGAAGCAGUGACGGAGGACACAAUUUGACAUGUUAUCUUAUUCAGGUUAGUGUAGAUUGGGCAUUCAGUGAGGUUUCUACCACAGAUAUCAUACAUGGCUUCAUUGUCUCCAAUGAAGGCAAAGUCAGAGUGCUCCAGCCUGGUGUGAGUAGUGAGAAUGGAGUGGUAGGACUCAACUACAGCUGUGAAAACCUGGGGGGCUGACUAAAUGGAAAACUCCAGCUAGGACUUGUCCAUUACCA
rnacentral:lncRNA from 1 species